ACCAAAGACCGUAGGACAGCUUAAAAAAUACAAAUAUUAAAAUUCCGGGCGAGCAGCGGCAGCAAGUCGCGCCAGCGUUCACUCUAGAACCGGAUAAAUAAAUUAAUACUGCGUUAAUGUGUCAAAAUUUACCACACCAACUUAACAGGUUAACAUUGGCAGCCUUAAUAUAUUGAUGUUUGUUGAGUCAUGGUACCCUGAUCUUAUGAGUGGGGGUUAAGAGGUCAAGUUACUGUAAGGUGCAUCACCUAACUGCUGUUGCUGAUUAAACCUUGUUUAAAGGUUCUGUGUUUAAUUCCUGACAGACAGAACAUCUGUUCUCACUGAUACUCUUCCUCUGACUGACACGUCCGUGCAUCAGCUGAACCCAUCAUCAUGGCCAUGUAUGGAGAGGCAGUGCUCACUCAUUCAGCAGCCUCAGGUCACUACAGGGAUGUAAGCUAGUUCCAGGGCUGGGAUUUAUCAUUAAUGGUGGCGCAAUAAUGAGGAUUUUGUGGUGGAAGUCUUUGAUGGUGCAAUGUGGGUCUGCUCAAAACAUGUUGACAAGCUACCGAGACAGCCAUGAACUCUAUUAACUCUCUGAACAGAGCCUCAGAGGAGAUUCAGAAGAUAAUAAAACAUACUAAAGUUAAGGUAUGUAUCUUUUUCUAUCAUUCUUUCUAGACAUUCCUAGAUAUAGAGCACAUGUAGCUCAUGUUAUUUAGGUAAUUGCAGUGUGUUACAACUAAACACUUUUUUCUUAUCUAGUAGGAAAACAUACAGAUCCAGAGAGAGAGAGGGAGAGUAUGUGUGUGUGUGUGUUUUAGUGACGACAGGUUCAGACAGGGUCUAUGACGAUUUUGUGGGAGUGUGUAUGAGGUGAGCUGAGGGUGUACAGAGCACAGAGAGAAAGCUGAGCUUUGAGAGAGAACACACUACAGUUCACAAAACAGUGAAAACCUCACUUUGGCAACACAAUGACGAUUGGCAAGAGUUCAAAGAAGAGCAAAGCCCCUCGCUCCCCUCCUUUUCUGGACCGGGCCAGUGGAUUCUACGGACGCUUAGAUGAAACUGAAGCAGAGGUUGGGAAAGAAGUGGAGACUGGAGAGAAAGAACCACAAACAAAGCCAGGAGUUGGACCAAGCAGCAUAGAUGAGCAGGAGCAUGGCAUUUCUGACUUCAGCGAGGGCAUGAUGGAGGACGAUGGUGCCACCCUUCUGCACAGGAAGCCCAGCCGCCUGAGCCGCCGCUGGAGCAGGAAAAGCUCCAGGAAGAACAAGGCUGAGAAGAGCUGCCAGAGCAGGGCAGAUAAAACUGAAACAGCUUCUCCUGUGGAACAGAAAUUGGAUGUGCAAACAGAAAGCAAAGCUGAACCUGCACCUGCCAGCGAGGCUCCAGAACCAGUGCUGGUCCAUUUCUCCAUUAGAGAAGAAGCUGAUGAUCAAGUGCUCAUCUCAGCAAGGAGGGAGAGACAGGUGGAGAUUGAGGAGAAGACGAGAGAAGGAGAAAUUGAGGAGAAAUCAGGUGAAGAAAAUAUGAAGGUCGUGAAAAGGAGCACACUAAAGAAUUAUCGCAAGGCUUUUGACAGAGCACUCCGCCGAGGCUGGGAGACCUUCGUAGCGAACCUGUACAGUGUUACGCUGACUCCAAUCUCACCCUCCUCUUCUUCAUCAUCUCCACCAGCAUCAUCCACAAUGAACAGAAACGUUGCUUUAGCAGAAUACAGAUAAUACAAGAUCAGAAUAGCUUUUUAUACAUUUCAGUUAAUGAUUGACUGUGAAUGUGUUUAGAUAUAAUAUUUAUUAUUAUGCUUUUGGGAGCUGUUUUUUUUGUUGAUAAUUUUCUAUUGAUCCUUUUAAUUAAUUCACAAUUAUGACUGAUCUAUAAACUGUACAAGAUUUAUAACACAUAGUACAGCUCAGGGUUUAUAAUUGCACUAAUGGAAUGUGAUAUUAUAUCCAGUUGAGUCAUUGGUGCUAAUGUGUUAUUUGUUUUAUGGUCCUACAUUUAGUAAAAUUUAGGAUUGUCUUGUUUUAGGAUGGUUUGUGAUGCAUAACCUGAGAGAACAGGAUUAAUAUGCUUAAUUCUGAAUAUUUGGCUUUUGGUGUAAAUUAAUUAUUCAGUCCUGGUUUAUUAUUUAAGCAGGAUGCUGUUCCUGUUUACACAAACACAUGCAGAGCAUGUACCAAACCCUCCUCACAUCACCUAUUGGAGUGUUUUGGGAGUUUUUCCAGAUGUGUAACUGAAGAGCUGGGAACAGAAUAAUGGAGACAGAGUCAGCCGUUUGUCUUUAGACAGGUUACUGAGGAUGGGCUGAAAUCUCCAGUUCUGGGAGCUCUAAUUAAAAUAAAUGUAUUUUUAAACAUUUUAAACA
rnacentral:lncRNA from 1 species